GCGGCAGCACCCGCCAGAGGCCAGGCUCUCCCGGAACAUCAGAGGCGCACGCAGGCAUGGGGAUAGGGAAGUCAUCCACCUGAGAACAUCUCAUCUAGUGAAGCACAAAGAAGUUCCAGAGAGACAACCUGUACAAAAAAUGCCGAUUUGCACUGAGGAUGCAGUAUUGUAGAAUGAUUGUCACAACAACCUCUUGCUGCUGAAAGAAACAGAAGCAUCUUCUCCUGCUAUUCUCAUCUUCUGAACAGAGGUCAAUAAGAGAGCAGAUCACAGCUCUAAUUACAACAAUUACUUCCAGUGAUGCCAAUACGAUCCAAUCAAAGUUAUGUGAGGCUGUUUUAAGGAGAUUAUUACUACUUUCCCAAGACUCAAAAUUGAAAAAUCAAUUAUGAGAUGUCUAUUUUGCAACAUUUUAAAACUUGCAUCCUCUCCAGACACUUGCUUUCUUCCAGCUCUCUAAAAAUGUUCAGCUUUUUCUUUAAACAUCCCUAGAGUGACAUUCAAUACCGAUACACCAGGAUUACAGGUCAGCAUUGUCUUGUGGGCCAAGUACAAUAACAAAGGUGCUUUCACACACAAGCUGUUAAUGCUUUUUCCUUUCAGAAAAAUGGAACAGGAAAAAAAAAAGCACUGUAAGGUAUUUCAAUUUGCUCCAAAUUACAUCAAUACACAAAGUAAUUCCUUAAAGGUGUUUUCUACGAUCAUUUAAGCAUCAAUUCCAAGCUUCAGUAAUUACUGUGAGAGUGGCAAACACAUCGUACCUUGUUUUAAUCCUGGGGGAAAAAAAUCACCAAUUUCAUCAUCACUUAGAUCUGCUGAAGUCAUCUUUCCUGUGUUUCUCCCCCUCCCAGACAGAGCCAAGAACCAACACUGCAUGUCAGUUUCUGGCAUUUAAAACAAAAAAAAAAACUUCUUCAGCUCGGCCUAUUACAAAUGCUUCCUUCAAUAUAAAACCUAACAAUCAACUGAAGAGAAAUGAAAAGUCAAACCAGGAAAAUACCAUACAUGCUGAGCAAGUAAACCUCAGGAUCUAAAGGUUCCCGAGCUCAGGCUCUAGAGAAUUCAAGUAGAUCAAUUUCCAAGGUCACAAGACCUUCAAUAUCCAACUUUCAAACAUAAACAGAAAUCCAUCAGAAAAAGGCAAAGGGGGAAAGGUCAUCUGGUCACAGAUUUCUACAAAAACACUGCUAACCUUGUAAAUUCAGAAGAGUGAUGGAUUUCGUUAAACUGUUUUAUGCUGCCUGGUAAAUCGUGUCUGCUCAAUGUGCCUAUUUCUACAUAAAGCUUUGAAGGUUCUGAACACAUUAGGCAUAACAAACAUAUUUGAAGUUGACAAAACAUGGGUAAUCUUCUUCAUAAUCCAUUGAGAAUAAAGACCUACCUUACACAGGGGAAGGGCAUGUUAGGUCAUGCUUCACUAAGUCCUUGCAUUUGGCUUGUUCCUAUAAGCUGGAAAUGAGCAACAACAAAGAAAAGCCCAAGGCACAAAAAGCCUCAAGCACAGAAGAAAUGUUUGCCUUCCACUUAUCAGUGUCACUCCUGACUUCUACUAGGAAUCUAUAUACUACUAGACAAAAUUAAAUCUGAUACCGUUCUUCAGUAAAAAUUACUGUAAAGCCAGUCAAUGACACAAUAUUCAUCCUUUUGCCUUCCUGGACCAGAAGUCAUCAGAAUGACUUACCUAUGUAGCACCAUUUCCACAAAUCAAAUUUGCAUAGGCCACUUUCCACUGCACAUCACCAAAGGCAUAAAACAAGCCAUGUAAUUGAUGUUUUCUGUACCACAUCUAAGUUAAUAAGUUAAACAGACAAAAAUCAAGUAAUUUUAGGAUAAACAGUGACUUGACAACCACUUGAUCAUCACCAAAACCUUCUUUUUAUGUAGAACACAUACCAAUCAACAAAACUACUUCACUCUUGAAGUCAGGUAUUUAAGGCCUUCAGAAAUCUUAUACAUCUCAAUUUGCUUACAUAAAAUAAACAAUCACCACAUCAACUUCCCUCCAUCAUUACUUUUCUCUACAUAACACAUGGUUAUUUCUAACUGUAACAAUCUUCAUUUAAACAUGGAAUAAACAAGCAAAAAAUAAAAAACCCUGUAAGAUUCUCUCAAUGUGCCUAACCGUACCCAUACUGAUAAAAAGCAAUCUGCAUCUCAAAUUUUUCCUGCUAUAGACAUGAAUAAAUUCCUCCCUCCCUCAACAGUUAAACUACUAACUCUGAAGCAGUAAAGAAGACACAGCCCAUAACCAAAAAUUUUUACACUGUUAGCAACUGACUUUCAUAUAUUUGCGAUGAUACUGCAGAAAAAUCAAUGUUCUUUCUGAGAAGCUUUGCCACCAUCCCAUGCCCUUCCAUCCUUCACUCACAACACUGUAGCUUGCCUUAUUCAUCCAAAAGGCACAAGACUCUGUCGUUUUUCAAAAUGCAGUGUUAUUUUAUUGUGUAUACAGUAUUUAGUAAAUAUUGCUCCAUUUCGAAAACUAAAAAAAAGUUUCUACCCCUUCACUCUAUGUUGACAGAAACAAAAUAAAAAUGCUUUGUUAUGGGACUAUGCUGGCUUUUCUUCUUGAAAAAGCAAAGUACUUGGAAUUACAAACUUCAGUUUCUGUGUUCUGCUAAUAAGAGAUUAGAAGUUAACAAUGCACCAAAUGUUACAGAAAGUAAGAUUUACUUGCUGGAACAAACAAGACAUUACUAAUAUCCACUAAUAUUAAAGCCUUAAAAAAAUCUGCAAAAAAUUUGCAAUCUACUGAUCUGCAAAUUGCAAAUACUGCAGGUUUUACUCUAGCAUCACAAAAGAAAACUUGAAUCAGAUUAUCAUAUUACAUAUAGUGCUACACACUGUCAAGUUAAAAAAAAACCCAAAACAACAGGGUUUGAGUUUCCUAUACAGCUUUGUUCUUAACUGUAUUCAAAACAACAUGACCUAAACAACUAUGGUGGGAAUGAAACAGAAUUAUUCUAGAAGAAAAUACUUUUGUUAAUUAAAACAGUUCCUCUUCCAUGAAGGAAAAGUAAGUCAUAGCAUAAGCUGUUAAGUCACCCAGACAUAAUAUAACAAGCAGCAUCCUCUUACGCAAUCUGUCUCUUGAUCCAGUUUUCAGAUAGUUUAUGUUGCCACAACCUGGAUAUAUGGAAGGGGAAAUAAAAUAAAUACCAUAAUCUAACAGAAAAAUAGUUUUUGUUAAACAUAUGACAAGAUCUUUAAUCACUUAUUGUAGUUCCAUCUCUAAGUUUUGGUCUCUCAAGGCUGCCAUACAUGAGAACUCUCUUUUCCCUAAAAUAUAUCAACAUUUUAAUAAGAUCCUUCUCUGUGGUUCCACUGUUUACAUUACCCAUUUCAGCUAUGAAAAGUUGCUUUGUAUUGUCUUCCUCCUGGGAAAGCUUUUUUUUGCAUACAUACUGACAAAAAACUUCCAUUGAAAAAUCAAGUCUCACACUGCGCUCUCAAAACUAAGCCGGCUCAUCCUGUUCUUUGCUGACAUGCAAUUCCAACAAAAGAACAAAAAAAUCUGAUCAUAAACACACCUUACCUUGAGAACCUUCCCAACUGAGUUCAGCGUGAGUCAACACGAAAGUAGCUUUCAGGCUAUUCUUUAUUAAAGAGUAACAGAACCAUCAGCUAGGUCCAAGAUCAAUCCAGCAGCAGGACCACACACUGCACUGCUGCUUGAUGUGUUAUUUCUGUAAGUCUCCCAAAAAUGGUUAAAAAUGUUACAUGGGCCGCUGUGUAGGGGAAUGUCUGUGUGUAGGCAGGGUGGAGUUGAUAUUCCACAGAGAUUCUCAAGUCUGUUAUCUUUUCCUUUGAACCAGAACAAAAGAAAUACAUACAUACAAUAUUAUGCUGUGCUGGGUUAGUGUUGGACUUUACAAUCUCAGAUCUCAUUUUCAACCUAAACCAUGUUAAGAUUCCACUGCCCUGCACUGUACUACAGGGAGCCAAAAAAAAAAAAAAUCAGAGUAGAAUUUUUCUGGGGAAGUGUCAGAUAAUGAAAGCAUGGAAGCUGCAAUGUGUCUGGAUGACAUUUAAGUGUGAAAAACGUGUUUUCCUAUAAAAUACAAAUUAAUAAAAAGGAAUCAGUCAUGGAUUCCUAGGUUUUUCAGAACAGCAAGCAUGCAGCCUGGCCAGUAAAGCAAAGUACACCUACAGCUGGGGACUAAGCAGGACCAAGGCCUGGGCAAAGCGAGGAUCACCCACACCAUUGCACAGAAACAACCACAAGAAUGUUUUACAGAGUAGUGGUAAAUUUUGAUGACAACACAAAGCUAGACACCAAAAGAGGACUGGGAUAUUUUAUUACAAUACUUUGAGAACUGUAGUAAAAAAAGCUGUAAAAUUUAAUCAUACAGAGUAUAAACUGAAGCACCUCUAAGGACGAAAAGUAAAAGCUGUGGCUAUAAACUGGUGUUUCAUCAGCUGGGAAAGGGCCAGAGGAUGGGCCUGUAGGGAAAGAAGUGGACUGCUAACAUUUUACAGCGCAUGGGUGGCAUCUAAAUAAAAAAAGUACUAUUCCAGCCUUCCUUAUUUUAUAAAAGAUCAAUCUAAAUCAAACCAGGCACACAGCAGCUCUAUAUAAAUAAUCACAGAGCCUUUGUGAUGAGAAGAAAUUAACCUUUCUUUGUCUAGAAAAACCUAGGAAUCCAUGACA